rnacentral:rRNA from 1 species
UAUUUGGGUGUCCUUCAAAAUGGACAAGUUGCUGUGAAGAGGAUAAAGAACAAUCAUACGAUAGAUGAGAAAGUAUUUCGUCGGGAGGUUAACAACUUAUUGCAUGUCAGCCAUAAGAAUAUAGUUCGGUUUCUUGGCUUCUGUUCUCACACAGAACAUAAAGUAUUCGAAAAUGAAGAAUCGAGAGAUUACAUUUAUGCCGAGAAUAGAGAAAGAAUACUCUGUUUCGAGUACGUCAACAACGGGAGUCUUGAAAAAUAUAUUACAGGGCUUCAAUGGGACACUCGCUAUUCCAUAAUAAAAGGAAUAUGUGACGGUCUGCAGUAUCUUCAUGUGGAAAAACAUAUUAUUCAUAUGGAUCUGAAGCCAGCAAACAUACUAAUAGAUUAUAAUAUGGUAGCCAAAAUAACUGAUUUUGGCUUAUCAAGAAUGGAGGAAAAUGCACAAACAAAAAGUACAGCCGGUUUUUCAUCACCAGGAUACACCGCUCCAGAAUACAUAGACAAAGGCAAAAUGUCAGUCAAGUAUGAUGUGUAUAGCUUGGGAAUCAUAAUAAUCGAACUGGUGACAGGACAAAGGAGUAUUCCCGAUAGUAAUAGUGUAAGAGUUUUUCAUAUUGUAGGUGGCCUGUUUUUACAGAUUUAG